UCUUCCCUCUUUCUUCGUGCCUAAUACAUGCAAGUCGAGCGAACAGAUAAGGAGCUUGCUCCUUUGACGUUAGCGGCGGACGGGUGAGUAACACGUGGGUAACCUACCUAUAAGACUGGAAUAACUCCGGGAAACCGGGGCUAAUGCCGGAUAACAUUUAGAACCGCAUGGUUCUAAAGUGAAAGAUGGUUUUGCUAUCACUUAUAGAUGGACCCGCGCCGUAUUAGCUAGUUGGUAAGGUAACGGCUUACCAAGGCAACGAUACGUAGCCGACCUGAGAGGGUGAUCGGCCACACUGGAACUGAGACACGGUCCAGACUCCUACGGGAGGCAGCAGUAGGGAAUCUUCCGCAAUGGGCGAAAGCCUGACGGAGCAACGCCGCGUGAGUGAUGAAGGUCUUCGGAUCGUAAAACUCUGUUAUUAGGGAAGAACAAAUGUGUAAGUAACUGUGCACGUCUUGACGGUACCUAAUCAGAAAGCCACGGCUAACUACGUG
rnacentral:rRNA from 1 species